GAACUGCUUAGGUAUCCAAUAAUAGGACGAAACGGCCGUCCAGUGC
rfam:Schistosoma rodhaini strain Burundi genome assembly, scaffold: SROB_scaffold0001081